GUGACUUCCUGGUCAGUUUCAUAGCGUUGCCCACCCGCCUGACAGGUGUGAGUCAACAGGGGCAGCUCCGGUGGAAGGGCUUGGCUAGGCUGGCAGAUGAGAUACAGAGGCAGGCUUCUGACCUACAGCGAAAGGACACAGCCAAGGAAUGAGUUGUUUAUUAUUGCACGGCUGCUCUUGGCAUCCCAUCUGUCAUUGUGAGGAGUCCUCCACCCUUGGUGAACCGGGACCUGUGAGAAGCCCAGCCUGCAUUCCGAGGUGGUGUGUGAGCACAGAGGAGCCCCAGUGAAUGCCGGCUUGAGCAGGACUCAGUGGGAAGUUGGAGCGUGUGUGCUGCGCCAGAAGUAUGAGAAGGAAGAAUGAGUGUGAAAGGUAGGAUCAAGAUGAAGAUCUGCGGAUGUGACAGCGGCUUGGACCUUGUCUCCCUCAGACAUCCUUCUUCUGGAAGUCACGAAAUGCCACAGAAUCUAAGUGUUGAAUAAACGGACAAGGAAAUUGUCUUCAAUA